AUGUGUAUCCAAAUCACCUGGACCUCUUUUUUUAAUGCCGACUAUGUUUGGGUCUCUGGAAUACCUCACAGAUGCUCAAAACCAGCAGCCUCAUGCAUUCCUCUCAAUGACUACCCCUCUAUCUGCCAAGGAACUUUCUGUCAAUGCCUCCAAUCCCCAGAGGAAAGACCACAUGAUCAAUCCUUUAUGAAGAAAUUCCAGCAUAAUCAGUCUGCAAAUACCAUUCUAAUAAGACAAAAAGGCAGCUGCAAUGAUUCAUUCCUCUGAGGCUGGAAAUGUUUGCAGAAUUCAACACUUGCAGAGAGAGAAUCCUGAGAGGAGGAAGAUAGAAUAUGCAACUCUAGCAGUUUUUGUGGCCUAGACUGGAAAAUAUCUCUGGCAACAUUUGGUGGCGAAAGAAGGCAUCACUAUAACAGCAGACCUUUCUUCUCAUUUUUGUCUAUGAAAUUAAAUCUGAGGCCUAAUUAGAAAAACAGUUGGAAUGGAAACUAGUCCUGCAACAGCUGGCAUGAUGUUUUGAAAGGGCUCUAGAAACAAGCAAGACAGGCUUCGAGUAAGCUAAUGGCUUUACACAUCAAAAAGGUGAGUGACCUACUUCCUAAUAAACCACCUGUUCAUGGGACGGUUGUAGAUAUU
rnacentral:lncRNA from 1 species